AAAAAAUCCUGGGUUUUCGGCCACCCUCCCAAAAAAAGGCCCAAACCCGCCACAAGUCCUUCAGGGCCCAAAUCCAUGAGUGCUGUGUCUUUCUUGUAUUGUUUGACAAAGCUCAGGGUGCUCAGUCCGCAGACCGCGAAACAUGGCGAGCUCCGUUUUCGCCUUCAACCCCUUAACAGGGCGGAGAGCGCGCGAACCAGUAACCCCAAUCGCACCCAAGUCACGCUCAAGUUUGAAUUUCCGAAACUCACACUCUGUAAAGUUCAAAUGCGAGCACUCGUGCUUUGAAGUUAGCAAUGUUAGCUACCAACCGCCAGGGACCGAGCUUAGCCUUUUAAAUUCUGUUAGUUUUUCACUUCCGGAGAAAAGCUUUGGCUUAAUUUUUGGACGGAGUGGUAGUGGAAAGACUACUCUUGUGCAGCUUCUUGCAGAGAUAAGCAAACCAACUUCAGGUUCAAUUUACAUUCAAAAAUAUGGAAAUGAUGGCAAUCCAGUUCAGUCUCCCGAACCCUUAUCCUCAGGAAGAGUUGGCAUUGUAUUUCAGUUUCCAGAGAGGUAUUUUGUCGCGGAUAAUGUUCUUGAGGAAGUUACAUUUGGGUGGCCAAGACAAAAGGGUGAUCUUCAAAUGAAGGAGCAUCUUGCUCUAAGACUCCAACGAGCAAUCAAUUGGGUUGGUUUAAGUGGGAUCUCAUUGGAUAGAGAUCCCCACUCCCUUAGUGGUGGCUACAAACGUCGGCUUGCCUUGGCAAUUCAAUUAGUGCAAGUCCCUGAUUUAUUGAUAUUGGAUGAACCUCUUGCUGGUCUUGAUUGGAAGGCACGUGCUGAUGUUGUGAAGCUUCUAAAGCAUCUAAAGAAAGAAUUGACUAUACUUGUUGUCAGCCAUGAUCUCAAAGAGUUAGCAGCUAUAGUUGAUCGAUCUUGGAGGAUGGAGAUGGGUGGGAUUCUUAGGGAAGAGCCUCUACCGAUUUGAUUUCAGCAAGAUGGUGCUGCCUCAACAUGGCAUGCUGUGAGGUAUAAUUUGGACAGUUAAUAGCUAUAGAGGGGUUUAGAUUUGACAAACUGUCGUACUUAUCAUGUCUAAGUAUCUUCUAGAUGGAGGAGGCACCAGGACAAGGUUGCUGGCCCAGAAAUAUUAGCAUACCCCACAAGUUUACUCAUCUCUCGAAGUUGAGUAAUUUGGGAAGGAUAAUGCUGCCGUAGGCUUAGAGACAAAGCCAUGCAUGCAUGCCUCCAUCUUUGAUUCCUUUUACAAGUGGGCUUGAUAAUUACGCAAGACAAAUGAAGUACUAAAGAGAUCCUGGGCAGAAAGUAUAUUCAUAGUUUAUACAUGUAAACUGAUUUUGUGAUUUCGCUUCAAAGCAUUGAAGAACUGCUAUUGAAUAAUUGUUUUUAUUAUUAUUAAUGAUGGGAAUCGAUAUUCGACUGCGACUGUUCUUAGUGGUGCAUGUAGAAUUUAUGCACGCAAAGGACUUGUUGGGCAGAAUUCCAAAGGCAGAAUAGGGCAAGUAAAAAAUUACGAAGGUGCAAGCAAAUGCGGAAUUUGACAACAAGUGGAACUGGGAGCGCUCUCUCCUCAAAUCGGGUGCUUGCAUUGGGAGUAUCCUAAUUCUUUGCUAACCAACGAAGAGCUAGAAUAUGAAAGAGUUGCCACUUUUGGUCGUGGAAGACUAAAGACAAAGAGAAGAGAAUCACUCACCACCCAUGACACCUUCCAUAUACCACCACAACAAACGCAAACUCAGCAAAAUUCUCGGCAGGAGGAUCCACCACAAGCAUCCAUGACCAUGUGAGUUGGAUUUCGUAUCCUGCAUUUUGUUUUCUUUUUUCUUUUGGGUCUGAUUCUCAUUGGGCAGUUGGAGUAUGUGUUCAUCUUCAUUAUUGUUUUUGUAUAGUAUGGAGUUAGUACAUGAUCACCCUAAUUAUUGUUGGUUCUUAUUUGUAUGGGGCUAUUUCAAAAUGAUAAGACCCCCAUCUUACAAGUGUAAAGUGUAUGGGUCUAAUUUCCCCUAUUUCUCCUUUAGCAGUUGAGCCAUCCAUCAUA